rnacentral:rRNA from 1 species
CACCUACGGGUGGCAGCAGUUAGGAAUUUUGCGCAAUGGGGGAAACCCUGACGCAGCAACGCCGCGUGAAGGAUGAAGGCCUUCGGGUUGUAAACUUCUUUCGACAGGGAAAAAACAAAUGAUGGUACCUGGAGAAGAAGCACCGGCUAACUACGUGCCAGCAGCCGCGGUAAUACGUAGGGUGCAAGCGUUACUCGGAUUUAUUGGGCGUAAAGCGCAUGUAGGUGGUUUUAUAAGUCUGAUGUGAAAGCCCUGGACUCAAUUCAGGAACUGCAUUGGAUACUGUAAGACUAGAGUAUGGGAGAGGUAGGCGGAAUUCUUGGUGUAGAGGUGAAAUUCGUAGAUAUCAAGAGGAACAACAGAAGCGAAGGCGGCUUACUGGACCAUAACUGACACUGAGAUGCGACAGUGUGGGGAGCAAACAGGAUUAGAUACCCUGGUAGUCCACACCGUAAACGAUGGAUACUAGAUGUCGGGAGUUCUUACCCUCUCGGUGUCGUAGCUAACGCGUUA